rnacentral:rRNA from 1 species
UCSCCUGUUUAUCAAAAACAUAGCUAUUAGAUAUAAUUAAUAGUGUYUUYUGCUCAAUGAAUAUUAAAUAGCCGCAGUACCCUGACUGUGCAAAGGUAGCAUAAUCAGUUGGCUUAUAAUUGAAGUCUUGUAUGAAUGAAUAAAUGAGGAGGAACUGUCUCAUCAAUAUUAAAUGAAAUUACUUAGCAAGUGCAAAUUCUUGUAAUAAAAUAAUAGACGAGAAGACCCUAGAAAUUUUGAGUAUAUGUUAAUUGGUUUUUGUUGGGGCAACAAUGUAACAAGAAACUUACAUUAUGGACAAGAAAUUUUUUUUGAAUGAAUAAAUUACUCUAGGGAUAACAGCGUAAUGUUUGAGCGAUUGCGACCUCGAUGCACAGUCAGGGUACUGCGGCUAUUUAAUAUUCA